AUGCAGAACCAUCACCAUCAUCGCAUCGAUUCUGCAACAUCCACGCGACUGUAUCAACAUAGUCUUAUUACAAUAAUCUUCAGUCUUCAUCUCUAUUUCACUGCGACUUCGUCCGCAACCUGCAACACUCGCAUAUUCUUCCUCUCUGAAGAUCUUCAACGCCUUUACACCUCUGCAAGCAUCUUCAUCAUUACAUCUUCAUUAUCAAAAACAGUCCGCAACUUCAAGCAUCCUCACUCUUCCACGUCAUUUUACUG